ACUCAAAUGAAUUGACGGGGGCCCGCACAAGCAGCGGAGCGUGUGGUUUAAUUCGACGCAACGCGCAGAACCUUACCAGGGUUUGACAUCCUCGGGAUCGGGGUGAAAGCCUCGAGUGCCUUCGGGAGCCGAGAGACAGGUGCUGCAUGGCUGUCGUCAGCUCGUGUCGUGAGAUGUUGGGUUAAGUCCCGCAACGAGCGCAACCCUCGUGGCUAGUUACGGAGACUGUCUAGCCAGACUGCCGGGCACAACCCGGAGGAAGGGGGGGAUGAUGUCAAGUCAGCAUGGCCCUUACACCCUGGGCGACACACACGCUACAAUGGCCGGGACAGCGGGCAGCCAAGCGGCAACGCGGAGCCAAUCCCUGUAAACCCGGUCUCAGUUCGGAUUGUGGGCUGCAACUCGCCCGCAUGAAGUCGGAGUUGCUAGUAACCGCCGGUCAGCCAUACGGCGGUGAAUAUGUUCCCGGGCCUUGUACACACCGCCCGU
rnacentral:rRNA from 1 species